CGAGCGUUUCGGCUCUCAAAAGGUUGGUGCCACCCGGUGGUAGCAGACGCGGCUACCAACGCAACUUGGGACGCUGCAUUUUGUCUGCAAAGUGCUGCAUUUUCGCUGCAAAGUGCUGCAUUUUGUCUUCAAUGUCGCAGUCUGACGAGAGUGAAGUGUAUGAGGUGGAGAGAAUACUGAAGUAUCGGACCCGACGCCAAGGCAAAAGAAAGAUCGGCGAGUAUCUUAUAAGAUGGAAAAACUUUGGUCCGAGUGAAGACACCUGGGAACCUAGAAAAAACCUCGUCGGAUGUGAAGCACUCCUGAAAGAGUUUGAAGAAAACUUGGCCAAAGCAGGGGAUGUACUGGAACCGGAGCCAAGGAAUGAUGAUGGGAUAGAACUGAUGCCCGCACCUCCGCCACAGAAGUCUCCUAGACAUUUCAACAGUGUAUUGGAGGCAUCAGCGAGCAAGACGUUGGAAGCUGCGGAGAUAAUUACUCGAAGGCGUCUGCAAAUUGAACAAUGGCAGAAGGACAAAAAUGGUAGCAAGAAUGAACCCAAUGCUGAACAAGUGACUCAACGCAUGCCCCCAAGGAUUUAUUAUGUGCUGUAUCGGGUCGCCUUUCUGGGCCUUUUCAUGCUUUUCGUGAUCCUUGCUGUAUACAUCAAGGGAGGUGAUGUUUCUGGGAACAUGGAGCAGCUGUUCUCAUUAUAGAAAAUGAAUUAAGAAGAAGGAACCCUCUUGGGCUGCUUUAUGUGGAGAGCUGCUCAGAAUGGCUAGAACACUCAACCUCUACAAGGCUGCCACCUUUCGUCAAGUCUUCAACAAUGCACCAAAAGAAGUCUCCAAACAGCACGUUGGACUUGCUUCUUACAGCUAUAGCCUUCUCAAUGUGCGUAAGCAGUGCUGUCGGGAUUUUCGAAGGCAGCUUGAGGGCACCCAGACAAAGGAGAACAUUUCGCUCAAAAUGGCUGCAGGUGGUACACCAUCUGUGGCAAGAAGAGUUUUGCAGUCAUGUACGGCAGAAUGAACUCACUGGCUGCUUGGAAGGUACCUGGCAUCUGAGUGACAUGCAGCUGUUGCCUUGUACAUCAUAUCUGGAGCAUGCAUGAAGCUUGUGCACAUUGCUCACGAGGUCACUAAGGUCACGCAUAGUCCCAAUGUUCACGCUCACGAAAUCUUUCGCCUCGCGGCCUCUUCCACUUGCGGUUGUCACUCUGUCACUGCCCACAACAACGCAUUUCUUGAUUUGCAGCGCCUUAAGUUCAAACUUCAGUGUGAAAAAUGCUGUAAAUUUACUGCUGUCGUUCCCCACUGCGAUUUUCUGCCAUGAUGGUGGCAGCUUUGCACAUUCAGUUUUGUUAAACGAUGGCGCGGACAACUCGGGCAUAUAGUCUUCUACGGCAUCAGCAGUAGUUGUGCUGCAAGAAGCUUGUUUGAAUUGCGGUGAAUUGCGGUCAAGGUUAGUGGCCCCAUUGCUUCCUUGUUUUCAUGCUUUCAUUUUCGCCUUUUCUCCGCUGGUUUUGAUAAAUAUGAGAGCAAGUUAGGGAAGAAUUUAAGCAGUGCAUCUUCAACUAGGCUCUACUUACGUCUUGGGAUUUCGAUAGUUUCUCCAUUCAUCAGGUGCACAUACAUUCUCUGAAUGUCCUGGUCGUGAAAAUGCAAAGAGCAUACUCUGUUCAUGGCUGUGAUGUUCUUGUCGGUGUUGGGUAUGGCCCGGUUUCACGCCGAACGUUGUUUCUUGUCGCUUGGAGUGACGAAGAAACAGCAGACCGACCGGCUUGUGUCGUUUCGGUACCCGCUCGUACAACCGCUUAUACAACACGUUGGCAUUACUUCGUCAGCUUAGAUGCUCACACAACACUUCAUCGCAUUCGCUGUCAUCACACCAGCUACGAAACACCAGAAAAGUUCCGAACACAUGACAACGUAAGAAAGAAUACACGCAGUUUUAGUGGAGACAAGACGCGGGACAAAGCGUGGGCGGGUGGGCGUGGGUGGGAGUCUGAUGCGAUUGCUGUGCCAGUCGAAGCGGAAGCGGUAGUGGUUCCGCGCAACGCGGCGCAGUUUGUAAACUCAACCUAGUCUAGUAACAUUGGCAAAACUCAUUCAUUGAUCACUGCGUCUCGUUUCUGCUAUCUUGUUAAUACUGUUUCUAGACAUUGUGCAUGAGCGCUCCGUCAUGGGUGGCUGACAUGCCGCGCGAAAUGCUGCCAGCCUUCUGGUGGCAGCGCUGCUUGUUUGUAAAUAUACUCGCUUAUGUUUCCCGUGUACUUGUGAUUCCCGUUACAAUUUGGUUGAGCUGUGGGGUAAAGGAGUGCUGUACAUUGAAGCUGCACAGUGGUCGUCGACUCGUAGUUUUUAUGAUGAAAAAUGACCCUAAAAUGCUGGCAGUGUCUUGUGCGGCAUGUCUGCUUCUUCCUCUAUUUGUCUGCAAUGGUGGGCUCAUGCACAGUGGCUUAUAACAAUAACUUCAUUGCUUGGGUUGUUGUAUUAAUUGACGAGAACAUUACACAACACUACUUUUCCAGAAUGGCCACACUUUAUUCAACCUGUUUUGUUCUGUAGAUGCACAGACAAAGCUGGCAGGCCUGCCCAGCACCUUUUCAUUCCUGCUCGCAUGAUCUCAGUCCUGAUCACGAUAAGCAACACUCGCAUUUACUGCUGCGCCUAUUCAUUAGGCUUCUCAAACCUAACUUAAUGCUGUUUCACUGCGUGUUUACUAUCAAAGUUAUGGUUUAGUGCUGAAUUGUAUUAGAUAAAUAGAUGAAUCAUUAGAUAAAUAGCCAUCAUUGUUAACGAUGUAGUGCGCGGAUUUGUUGGAGGAGCCAAGGUAGGCACAUGUCUGAAAAAUGUGUGCUCUACUUUCACGAGAUGUGCACAUUUUUUGCAUUUUUUGGGGGUCUGUUGUAACUAGGGUGUCAAUCAGACACCAUGAAAUAUGCAUUAUAUAUAUUUCCCUACGAAGUCUGAAUAAAACUAAAAAAUUAUACUUCAUUGAGACACAGGUGACAUGCACACGUCUUAAGGAUAGUGUAUAUCACCUUUACCCCUCUGCUUCCACCUGAACAGGGAGUUUCACAUCACAUUUGCCACCAGUCUUAUGAAAAGCACCUUUUCAGGUGUACGUGUAUUUGAAUACUGUUAUGUUCAUUCAAAUAUUCAAACAGCUCAAAUGUUCACACGAGUCUUUGCUCAUGUGAUGCUAAGCCACUGAAUUGUAAUGAUGAUGGCACAUAUUUUUGUUCAUUGUCAGGGUUGAUCACAAUAGGAGGACCAUGCCAUUGUUAUUUUAGUUACUUCAACAUUUCCUAUUGUGGGUUGAGCAUCCCCUGGGGCACACAUGGUUAUGUCCAUGGUUAACUCUCACAUGGUUAUGUCUUUAUAUGUUGUCGUGCUGCAAAGUUUCUUGCCUAAGUUAAACUGGCAUCAGGUAUUAAUUUAUAAAAUGUUUACGCUUUGAGUGGCUCACCCUGUACCUUAUAAAUUUAUUUACCAUUGUUUUACUGCCUUUUACUUCUCUUUGCCUGUUUACUUUGUUUAUUUCUGUUUACUUUUAAAAAGCAAAUUGUGCUACUUAAUUGUUAAAAAAUGUUUUUGUUGGGUGUGUCGGUUAAUUUGUUUUUAUUUCUUGUGUUUCCCAUGAAUAUGGGGCCAUUGUUAUCACUGUCACCUCACAGCUUUCAUGCUUCCAGAUCAUGACAGAGCAUAUGGGGUAUUUCAAUGAGUUGCUUAGUGGACCAGGUGACAUGGCUCUUGCCAUGAGUUAUUGUAUUGCUUGCCCUACAUUCAUACAAACAUGUGCACGAAACUUAUCAUACAGCUAUUUGCACCUUGUUGCUGUGUGCUUGCAGUCGAAUGAUAUUAAGCAGUUGAACAAUAUUUUACAUUUUUGACCAUUUAGUUCUAAUGCAGUAGAGCUUUAUUUAUGCUUCUUUAUAAAGAAGCAUCAGAUAAAACAUACCAUUGGGAAAAUGGACAAUCUGCAGUUGCUGUAAAAAAUGCUGAAGUUUCGUCCGAAAAGUGAUUCAUUGAUGGGGAUAACAAGGUAUUGAAUUGUCAUACGCAAGUCACUUCAAUUCAUUCACUGACCUUUGUCUCUGCUGUUCCAUCAUGCCAGCAAGUGUUCAAGUAAUAUCUGUUUGCAUUUGCCUCUGCUCACAUGAUGCUGUGCAUGUUAAUGUUCUUGUUAAGUUGAUUUUACUGAAAAAAAUAUUUUUAACCUUACGUUGUAUAUUUGUCUAAUGCAUUGUUACGUCACUAUCAGUCUUUUGCCUUUCAUGUGAAACUGGGAUCUUGUUCAUUCAUAUGAGGACUCUGCAUCCAGUAAAUGUAUCAUGCAAUUGCACUUAGUCGCUGUACUCAACAUUUGUGCCAAAAGAUUGUGUUUUCAAGAAACACAUGAGCUCAUAAAAAAAGAUUUAAGGCUGUAGAAAUUACCUUUUUUGUAAUGUUAAUGGGAACAAAAUAACGAGGCUCAUCUGUACAUAAUCUGUUAUAUGCAGACCAUGCUUGUUUUUUUGUAUUAUUUUAUUAUGUGGAACCACUGCUUCAGAGUUGCAGCUGCUUUCACCGUCAAGGUUAUUGGCUUGUUGGGCUUAUUCCUAAUCUUAUUUAGAUGGGCACUGGAGUUCUAAUAAAAGAGAGCUGCAAAAUCAAA
rnacentral:misc_RNA from 1 species